UACAGAGGUCCCAAGCGUUGUUCGGAUUCACUGGGCGUAAAGCGCGCGCAGGCGGUCCUUCAAGUCAGAGGUGAAAGCCCAGAGCUCAACUCUGGAACGGCCUUUGAGACUAGAGGACUUGGGUACGGGAGAGGUGAGUGGAAUUCCGAGUGUAGAGGUGAAAUUCGUAGAUAUUCGGAAGAACACCAGUGGCGAAGGCGGCUCACUGGCCCGUUACCGACGCUCAGGCGCGACAGCGUGGGGAGCAAACAGG
rnacentral:rRNA from 1 species